rnacentral:tRNA from 1 species
UGGGGCGUAGCCAAGCGGUAAGGCAGGGGACUUUGGAUCCUCGAUCGUUGGUUCGAAUCCAGCCGCCCCAGCCA